AACUCUGAGUGGUGGAUCACUUGGCUCGUGCGUCGAUGAAGAAUGCAGCUAGCUGCGAAAACUAGUGUGAAUUGCAGGACACAUUGAUCAUCGACACUUCGAACACAUUUUGCAACCCCGGGUUACUCCGGGGGCUAUAUCUGUCUGAGGGUCG